rnacentral:rRNA from 1 species
GACGAACGCUGGCGGCGUGCUUAACACAUGCAAGUCGAACGGAAAGGCCCUGCUUUUGUGGGGUGCUCGAGUGGCGAACGGGUGAGUAACACGUGAGUAACCUGCCCUUGACUUUGGGAUAACUUCAGGAAACUGGGGCUAAUACCGGAUAGGAGCUACUGCUGCAUGGUGGGGGCUGGAAAGUUUCGGCGGUUGGGGAUGGACUCGCGGCUUAUCAGCUUGUUGGUGGGGUAGUGGCUUACCAAGGCUUUGACGGGUAGCCGGCCUGAGCGGGUGACCGGCCACAUUGGGACUGAGAUACGGCCCAGACUCCUACGGGAGGCAGCAGUGGGGAAUAUUGCACAAUGGGCGGAAGCCUGAUGCAGCAACGCCGCGUGCGGGAUGACGUCCUUCGGGUUGUAUACCGCUUUCGCCUGUGACGAAGCGUGAGUGACGGUAAUGGGUAAAGAAGCACCGGCUAACUACGUG